AACGAACGCUGGCGGCAUGCCUAACACAUGCAAGUCGAACGGGAUCCUAGCUUGCUAGGUGAGAGUGGCGGACGGGUGAGUAACACGUGGGAAUCUGCCUUUUGGUUCGGGAUAACCGCGGGAAACUGCGGCUAAUACCGAAUGCCCUCGAGAGAGGAAAGAUUUAUCGCCAGAAGAGGAGCCCGCGUCUGAUUAGGUAGUUGGUGGGGUAAAGGCCUACCAAGCCGACGAUCGGUAGCUGGUCUGAGAGGAUGAUCAGCCACACUGGGACUGAGAUACGGCCCAGACUCCUACGGGAGGCAGCAGUGGGGAAUAUUGGACAAUGGGCGAAAGCCUGAUCCAGCAAUGCCGCGUGAGUGAUGAAGGCCCUAGGGUUGUAAAGCUCUUUUACCAGGGAUGAUAAUGACAGUACCUGGAGAAUAAGACUCCGGCUAACUACGUGCCAGCAGCCGCGGU
rnacentral:rRNA from 1 species